CACAAGAAAAAAGGUGAAACCAAACAAAGAGGACAGAACGUACGUCACUGCAGAAGACAGACCCAUCACCAGAGUAGGAUGACAUUGGCCAGCCUCAGAACUAACAAGUGUCACCUUCCACUGAAUUUGGGGAAGAUGGCAGGACCAUCAUCUGACUGAUUUGUUAAAUCAGAGCUUUUCAAAGUCUGGGACUGUGGGCCACCCCUCAGACAUAGUUUGGGAAAAGGCACACCCUCACCACCCCUUAGUUUACUUGCUUAGUUUUGCAUGCUUAUACCAGGAAAGGAAACUUCCUGAAUCCUUGCUGUUGCACAAAGAUGGGAGAAAUUGAAAAGUGAAGAGUCAGAACCACUCAGCAGAAAUCACUGUGGAGAAAAGAGAGCAGGAGAACAAGCUAGAGUGUAACGUUGUCCUGUGGAGGGAGAGACUGAAUGUCUCAAGCAUCAAAUCAGGAUGUUUGCUCUCAUCUGGGUGACUUUGCUUUUCUCUGUGAGAGGCAGUAAUGCAGACACAGGUCCUGUGCAACAUUGCAGAUCUGAAGUGCUUCCCCAGGCCGUUGCUGGUAUAGUGGAAGUGUCUUCUACAGAAUCUACGUGAUGUUCCUUUGGCAUGUUACUCCAUCUGCAUGUUAUGUUUAAAUGGUAUGUUGAUGCACUGGAGACUUUUAGGCAAAAGAUCAUGACUCAUUCUAUAUUUUUCUCCAAAGGAAAGCAAGAAAAAAAGUGAAACCAAGUCAAGUGGACAGAACUUAGAAGUCCCUGCAGAAAACAGACAGAUCACCAGAGUAUGGUGUUAUUGGACAACCUUUGAAGUGACAAAUCAGCUUUCACCAUGUCUUUACAGUCUUCAGGGAUGGUUUUCAGACAGCGUGCAUGAAGGAUUUUUUUUGCACUGGAAUAAAUAAAUUUUGGACAAAAA